AAGCGGGUUGCCGACACCAGACCGUUUUGGUAAGAAGCGACCAAAAUGAGUAGGAGGGCGUGGCGGUUUUGUUGAGAAGGAUGAGACGCAAGUCUAUCUGAAACGGCCGCUAGUGCAGAUCUUGGUGGUAGUAGCAAAUAUUCAAGCGAGAUCCUUGAAGGGCGAAGCGGGGAAGGGUUCCACGCGAACAUUGAUUGGGCGUGGGUGAGUCGUGCCUAAGCCGGGUGGUAAUCGUUCUUACGAUCGGCGAAAGGGAAGCGGGUUAAAAUUCUCGCACACGGAUGUGGAGGCGGUGACGCAAAUUGAGGUGGAGACGUUAGCGAUGGCACUGGGCAGAGUUGUCUUUUCUGUUUAACCUGUGGCGGCACUCUGUGGAAUCCGAUUAUCGGGAGAAACAGGUGCUUAUGGGAAGAGCGUCGGGGCGUCCCCGGCGUCCAGUACGCCAUCGAUAGCCCUUGAAAAUCCAUCUGCAAUGAAAUUUCACGCCGUGGCGUACCGAUAACCGCAUCAGGUCCCCAAGGUGAACAGCCUCUGCUCAAUAUGAACAAU
rnacentral:rRNA from 1 species